rnacentral:piRNA from 1 species
GAGGUAGGCAAGCUUCUAUGUAAACUGC